rnacentral:rRNA from 1 species
UACGUAGGGUGCGAGCGUUGUCCGGAAUUAUUGGGCGUAAAGAGCUCGUAGGCGGUUUGUCGCGUCGGCCGUGAAAUCUCCACGCUUAACGUGGAGCGUGCGGUCGAUACGGGCAGACUUGAGUUCGGUAGGGGAGACUGGAAUUCCUGGUGUAGCGGUGAAAUGCGCAGAUAUCAGGAGGAACACCGGUGGCGAAGGCGGGUCUCUGGGCCGUAACUGACGCUGAGGAGCGAAAGCGUGGGGAGCGAACAGG